GGAAGAUCAUUAAGAGGGCAGCUAGCCAGCCCUGUGCAGUGGAUGGACGAGGCGCGCCCAGAUCACUCCUGGAAAGGGGUCUCUGCUCCUCUGAAAGACUGAAUCUGUGCAUCCAGCAGCCCAUGGAAGGGAUGGGAAGCUCACUACCUCUCAAGACAGCGCAUUCCAUCUCGGGACAGCUUUGACUUGGAAAAUCCUUCCUUCAGGCCACACUGAGGGCAUCUACUUCAUAUUCCACAUGGCAGCACAUGUGUUUGAAGGGACAUGGAUAAAGCUGGAAACCAUCAUUCUCAAC